rnacentral:rRNA from 1 species
AACGAACGCUGGCGGCAUGCCUAACACAUGCAAGUCGAGCGAGACCUUCGGGUCUAGUGGCGCACGGGUGCGUAACGCGUGGGAAUCUGCCCUUGGGUUCGGAAUAACAGUUGGAAACGACUGCUAAUACCGGAUGAUGACGUAAGUCCAAAGAUUUAUCGCCCAGGGAUGAGCCCGCGUAGGAUUAGCUAGUUGGUGGGGUAAAGGCCUACCAAGGCGACGAUCCUUAGCUGGUCUGAGAGGAUGAUCAGCCACACUGGGACUGAGACACGGCCCAGACUCCUACGGGAGGCAGCAGUGGGGAAUAUUGGACAAUGGGCGAAAGCCUGAUCCAGCAAUGCCGCGUGAGUGAUGAAGGCCUUAGGGUUGUAAAGCUCUUUUACCCGGGAUGAUAAUGACAGUACCGGGAGAAUAAGCCCCGGCUAACUCCGUG